AAUAUGUCAACGUCUUUUGGUGGACAGUUGGUGUCGUUGGCUUCAGCCACGCUUAGCUCUAUCAUAGAACUUGUUUGCAGGGCUCUGUUGUAUCGGGAAUGUAAGAACGGACAUCAGUCAAAAUCAAAGUGCCCAGAAGCCUUCGUUUAUCCCAGAGGCCGCAGAAAAGCUAUUCAGUCUUUCGUUAGAUAAGUCGCCCAACCCAUUACUCGAAA